rnacentral:rRNA from 1 species
CUCGUAGGUGGCCAACUAAGUCAGACGUGAAAUCCCUCAGCUUAACUGGGGAACUGCGUCUGAUACUGGAUGGCUUGAGUUUGGGAGAGGGAUGCGGAAUUCCAGGUGUAGCGGUGAAAUGCGUAGAUAUCUGGAGGAACACCGGUGGCGAAGGCGGCAUCCUGGACCAACACUGACACUGAGGAGCGAAAGCCAGGGGAGCAAC